rnacentral:rRNA from 1 species
GAGUUUGAUCCUGGCUCAGGACGAACGCUGGCGGUGCGCCUUAUGCAUGCAAGUCGAGCGAAGCUUUUCAGUAGUUUACUACAGAAAAUGACUGAGCGGCGAACGGGUGAGUAACGCGUGAGCAAUCUACCUUAGUUACAGGGAUAGCCCGAGGAAACUCGGAUUAAUACCUGAUAUUCUUUACAUUUCGCAUGAAAUCAAAAGGAAAGGUCAGCCGAACUAAGAUGAGCUCGCGUUCUAUCAGCUAGUUGGUGAGGUAAAAGCUCACCAAGGCAACGACGGAUAGCUGGUCUGAGAGGACGAUCAGCCACACUGGGACUGAGACACGGCCCAGACUCCUACGGGAGGCUGCAGCAGGGAAUAUUGCGCAAUGAGCGAAAGCUUGACGCAGCGACACCGCGUGUGGGAUGACGGAUCUAGGUUUGUAAACCACUUUCAGGAGGGAAGAAAAUGACGGUACCUCCACAAGAAGCCCCGGCCAACUACGUGCCAGCAGCCGCGGUAAUACGUAGGGGGCGAGCGUUGUCCGGAUUUAUUGGGCGUAAAGAGCUCGUAGGCGGUUCAACAAGUCGGUCGUAAAAGUUCAGGGCUCAACCCUGAAAUGUCGAUCGAUACUGUUGUGACUAGGAUACGGUAGAGGUGAGUGGAAUUCCGAGUGUAGCGGUGAAAUGCGUAGAUAUUCGGAGGAACACCAAUUGCGAAGGCAGCUCACUGGGCCGCUAUCGACGCUGAGGAGCGAAAGCUAGGGGAGCAAACAGGAUUAGAUACCCUGGUAGUCCUAGCUGUAAACGAUGGAUACUAGAC